UUGAAACACAGGUUCCCGUAUGAUCGCCAAAGUUAAGCAAUGUAGAGACUCGACAGUACUUAGAUGAGUGUCCACUUAGAAAAACCAGGUACUGUAAG